rnacentral:rRNA from 1 species
AAAUAGCACCGUAUCUUCGGUAUAAGGUGUGCCUAACUUUGUGAAGGAUUUACUCCGUAAGCAUUGAAGGUUACAACAAAGAGUCCCUCCCGACUGUUUACCAAAAACACAGCACUCUGCUAACUCGUAAGAGGAUGUAUAGGGUGUGACGCCUGCCCGGUGCUCGAAGGUUAAUUGAUGACGUUAGCUCUGCGAAGCGUUUGAUCGAAGCCCGAGUAAACGGCGGCCGUAACUAUAACGGUCCUAAGGUAGCGAAAUUCCUUGUCGAUUAAAUAUCGACCUGCAUGAAUGGCGUAACGAGAUGGGAGCUGUCUCGAAGAGGGAUCCAGUGAAAUUGUAGUGGAGGUGAAAAUUCCUCCUACCCGCGGCAAGACGGAAAGACCCCGUGGACCUUUACUACAGCUUGACACUGCUAUUGGGAUAAAAAUGUGCAGGAUAGGCGGGAGGCUUUGAUCCAUAGACGCCAGUUUAUGGUGAGCCAUUGUUGAGAUACCGCUCUUUUUUAUUCUGAUAGCUAACUAGCUUGAGUUAUCCUCAAGUAGGACAAUGUCUGGUG